CACAUUGUUUUCUUUAUACGUCCCAACGGGAUUGGUUCUGCGACCUUCGUUUGUAACGAUUCACCAAGAUAAUUCACAUAAAGUGCCAGGCAUAGAGCCUGGCAUGGAGUAAUUGUUCAGUAAUUGCAAGUUCUUCCACUUGACCAUGAAAGCAGUACCUUCUCUUGCGACAGCGUCAUCCCAAAAGGAUCAGACUCACCCUAAGUGGCAUGGCUCCCUUUAUCACAGCAUCGCCACCGCCGUAAGCACUUUGCAUCUUUUAAUGUAUUAAUGAGCUAAUCUUACUAGUCAUUUCUCACAAUCACCUUUUGCAGAUGAAGAAACUGCAGCACAGUGAAGUUCAGGGACUUGUCAAUGUUCACAUGAGCCAAUUAGUGGUGUUCAUCACUGUCAACAGCCAUGUGCCAGGCAAUGCGCUGGAAUCUGGGGAUACGAUGGAGUUGGGCCAAAAGAAGAGGCUAGAGAUCUGGUGUCAUGUUAAUGUGGGAGGAGUGCUACUCGCAUCAUGCUGCAAUGCACAGGGUAGUUUUCCACAGCAAAGAAUUAUCCAGCCCCAGAUGUCAAAAGCGCCAUUAUUGUGAAACCCUGAUCGGAAGAUAAUGAGAGAACUGGAGAGACCUGGUUGGAAAUCAGCAAGAAAUUUGUAGGCUAGAGGGAAUAGCUACACAAAAUGACUUAAAUCACUGCCCGGUCUGAGAAGGCAAAAGAAGCCUUCAGUCAUUUCUUAGCAUUAACUUUUGCUGAGGCUACUCCUGGCGACACUGAUUAUAGGUUAUAAGGAACGUUGCUGCCAUUACACUUCAGCCUCGGGCCAUUACAAUACUUUGCAGAUUCUUCAGGAACUACCUCAGUCAUUCAGACUAGAAAGAGGAGAACUCAAUGCGAGUGUCUACUCCAUCAAAGGAACCAUUUUGGGCGUUUUGCCUAUGUAAUACCAAGUAAUUCUCACAAUAACACCGUGAAGAAGAUGUCAUAUAUUUUAAAAUGUGACGAUAUUUUAGAUAUAAGUACAAUGGAACCCAGAGGAAGUAUUUCCUUUGGAUACAGAUAUAUAAUUGAAACUCAUGUCUGUCAUAAAUAACUCACAGUGUAAUUGGAUGUCAUAUUCUACAUAAUAUAUAAGGUAUGACUACAGUUUGUAAUUAAUAUUUAUAUGCCUUGCACUUACCACAUGCCAUAGAAUAUUUUUAAUAUUAUAUCUUAAUAUUCCCCUGGUAAGGAUGGCAAGGAUAUUGAAGUUCAAAGGGGUGAAAUUAAUUGUACAAGGAUGUACAG
rnacentral:lncRNA from 1 species